GACGAACGCUGGCGGCGUGCUUAACACAUGCAAGUCGAACGAAGUGGCGAACGGGUGAGUAACGCGUAAUCAACCUGCCCUUCUGAGGGGGACAACAGUUGGAAACGACUGCUAAUACCGCAUACUGAAGGAGGGGAUUGCGUCGGAUUGGCUAGUUGGAGGGGUAACGGCCCACCAAGGCGAUGUUCGGUAGGCGGUCUGGCAGGAUGAACGGGCACAUGUGGACUGGGACACGGCCCAGACGCCUACGGGAGGCAGCAGUGGGGGAACUGCCGCAAUGGACGAAAGUCUGGCGGAGCAACGGCGGGGGAGUGAUGACGGCCUUCGGGGUGUAAAGCUCUGUUAAUCGGGACGCGGUACCGGAAUAGAAAGCCACGGCUAACUACGUGCCAGCAGCCGCGGUAAUUC
rnacentral:rRNA from 1 species